CGGCUCCAGCCUCGCCAGCCCAGAGAGGGGCCCCACAGCUCAGUGGCGGGCUGAAGGCCUCCUCGAGCAUGGCCAGAGUGGACACCGAGGCCGAGGAGACGCGGAGAGCCAGCGAGGGCUGCUAUUGUCACCUCUCAUUUCCAUCAGAUCAGGAUAUGAAGAAGAAAACAAUAAAAAAAUCAUGUCUAGCAAGGACAGAGGUCACCUCCAAUGGAGACACUUCAGGAAUUGCUCGGGAAAGAACAUCAAGUGGUCAAACAGGAGGAGAUAUGUGGUUCAAGCUACAGAAACAGCAACAGGCUGAGCAGCCAACAUAAGGUAAGAACUGAUUCCAGGAUGGGUGACUCUGCUAUGUGUUGCCUGAUCCGGAUACAUUUUAAAUUGAACUCCAUCAUUUUUUGAGGCCCUCUAGGAAAUGUAUCCAUUGAAAACAGUCGACACCAGGGUCUACUUGAAUGGGGCUGGGGGAGGUGGGAUGAGGGAGAGGAGCAGAAAAGACAACUACUGGGUACUGCGCUUAAUAACUGGGUGAUGAAAUAAUAUGUACAACAAAUCUCAUGACACAUAUUUUCCCAUUUAACAAACCUGCACAUGCACCUCCAAAUCAAAAAUAAAAAUAAAAAUAAAUGAAUA
ensembl:lincRNA